AUUGAACGCUGGCGGAAUGCUUUACACAUGCAAGUCGAGCGGCAGCGCGGCCUUCGGGCUGGAGGCGAGCGGCGAACGGGUGAGUAAUGCAUCGGAAAAUGCCCAGUCGUGGGGGAUAAAACUUCGAAAGAAGUGCUAAUACCGCAUACGUCCUGAGGGGGAAAGCGGGGGAUCGCAAGACCUCGCGCGAUUGGAGUGGCCGAUGUCAGAUUAGCUAGUUGGUGGGGUAAAGGCCUAACAAGGCGACGAUCUGUAGCUGGUCUGAGAGGAUGAUCAGCCACGUGGGGAAUGAGACACGGGCCAGACUCCUACGGGAGGCAGCAGUGGGGAAUUUUGGGCAAUGGGGGCAAUAUUGAUCCAGCCAUGCCGCGGGAAGGUAGAAGGCAUUCGGGUUGUAAAAUGCUUUUGUACGGAAAGAAAAGCAUUGUUUUAAUACAGGAGGGUACUGACGGUACCGUAAGAAUAAGCACCGGCUAACUACGUG
rnacentral:rRNA from 1 species